rnacentral:lncRNA from 1 species
GUUAGUGCUUAUAGUAUUCACCGCACCGCACGCUCAUCUUGGAUCCAAGUAGGUGCAUGUCGUACAGACCAUGAGAGGGUUCCGACAUGCUAGUCGUACAGAUCACUAGAGGUGGUUCCGACUGGUAGGUGAUCUUAGAUUAUGUGCACAGAUGAUUGAUGAGAGAAGCACUAGAGCGUAUUAUUACACCAUUCUUGUUGUACAGACUACUUCAGGUAGUUCCGACUUAUGUGCAGAGUAGUGCCGUAUAGGUCACCGUGAUGACUCCGGUUGGUUUGGAUAUUGAGCUAUGGAAUUAACCGUACAGGACCAACUGCAGGGUCUCCGGUUGAUUCAUUAUGUCACCUGUUAUAUUGAUGCAUUCAUAAUCUGUUAUUGACAUUUAUGGCAUGGCAUAUUUUUUGGAUUUGAUGAAAAAUUGAUGAUUUGAGAUAUAUGAGGAAUUAUAUACUAUUAUGUUAUUUUCUGGGAAAGUAUACAGGUUUUACAGUAAGGGGUUAGAAUUGUUUUUGAUGAAAUGUUUUUUAAAAGCUUUGGUUUUACUGACCCACUCAAUUUUGUUUUGCGCCCCUCCAGGUUCUAGUUAGCAGCGUUGGUGGCCCACGAGGAUCCCCACGGCGUACUGACAGACUACAUAAAUGUAGGACCCACCUGCAGGUGUUGUAAUUUAGUUAUAGUCCUACUUGACUGCACCUAAUUAUUAUGCUCUGAAAUUGUGUGUUUCGCACUUAAACUUACUCUAGCAGGAUACUUGGUUAUUAUUGCUAGUAUUUGGUUUUUGUUUAUUCGUAUUUCUCUUAUCUUUUACUUCUGCGUCGCACUUUUGGUUACGUCACACUCACGUGACGGCCAGCACGCCUUGAUUCUAGGAUCGGGGUGUGUCAGUUUGGUAUCAGAGCCUAGGUUGCAGUCCUGUAUAAAUUUUUAAUACUCUAAUGAUCUUUUGGUGUCUUUUGUCAGAAUUAUGCCGCCUUGUAGGGAAUCCCACCUUGCUUCUGAGUCUAAUUUCCCUGAUAUAACUCAAUUAGGGGAAGCG